rnacentral:rRNA from 1 species
GACGAACGCUGGCGGCGUGCUUAACACAUGCAAGUCGAACGGAAAGGCCCUGCUUUUGUGGGGUGCUCGAGUGGCGAACGGGUGAGUAACACGUGAGUAACCUGCCCUUGACUUUGGGAUAACUUCAGGAAACUGGGGCUAAUACCGGAUAGGAGCUCCUGCUGCAUGGUGGGGGUUGGAAAGUUUCGGCGGUUGGGGAUGGACUCGCGGCUUAUCAGCUUGUUGGUGGGGUAGUGGCUUACCAAGGCUUUGACGGGUAGCCGGCCUGAGAGGGUGACCGGCCACAUGGGGACUGAGAUACGGCCCAGACUCCUACGGGAGGCAGCAGUGGGGAAUAUUGCACAAUGGGCGGAAGCCUGAUGCAGCAACGCCGCGUGCGGGAGGACGGCCUUCGGGUUGUAAACCGCUUUCGCCUGUGACGAAGCGUGAGUGACGGUAAUGGGUAAAGAAGCACCGGCUAACUACGU